AUGGAGCAAGCGUUAUCCGGAUUUACUGGGUGUAAAGGGAGCGCAGGCGGCGCGGCAAGUCAGAUGUGAAAGCCCGGGGCUCAACCCAUGGCCUGCAUUUGAAACUGUUUUUCUUGAGUACUGGAGAGGCAGACGGAAUUCCUAGUGUAGCGGUGAAAUGCGUAGAUAUUAGGAGGAACACCAGUGGCGAAGGCGGUCUGCUGGACAGCAACUGACGCUGAGGCGCGAAAGCGUGGGGAGCA
rnacentral:rRNA from 1 species